rnacentral:rRNA from 1 species
GACGAACGCUGGCGGCGUGCCUAAUACAUGCAAGUCGAACGCAGUGGGGACGGGUGAGUAACACGUGGGUAACCUCCCAUCAGAGGGGAUAACAGUUGGAAACAGGUGCUAAACCGAUACUGAUGGAUGGACCCGCGGUGCAUUAGCUAGUUGGGGAGGUAACGGCGCACCAAGGCCACGAUGCAUAGCCGACCUGAGAGGGUGAUCGUCCACACUGGAACUGAGACACGGCCCAGGCGCAUACGUGAUGCAGCAGUAGGGAAUCUUCGGCAAUUGACGAAAGGCUGACCGAGCAACGCCGCGUGAGUGAAGAAGUUUUUCGGAUCGUAAAACUCUGUUGUUAGAGAAGCGGUAUCUAACAAGAAAGCCACGUCUAACUACGUGCCAGCAGCCGCGGUAAUUC